rnacentral:rRNA from 1 species
AGGGAAAGGCGAAAAGAACCCCGGCGAGGGGAGUGAAAUAGAACCUGAAACCGUCUACGUACAAGCAGUGGGAGCACCCGCAAGGGUGUGACUGCGUACCUUUUGUAUAAUGGGUCAGCGACUUAUAUUCUGUAGCAAGGUUAACCGCAUAGGGGAGCCGUAGGGAAACCGAGUCUUAACUGGGCGUCAAGUUGCAGGGUAUAGACCCGAAACCCGGUGAUCUAGCCAUGGGCAGGUUGAAGGUUGGGUAACACUAACUGGAGGACCGAACCGACUAAUGUUGAAAAAUUAGCGGAUGACUUGUGGCUGGGGGUGAAAGGCCAAUCAAACCGGGAGAUAGCUGGUUCUCCCCGAAAGCUAUUUAGGUAGCGCCUCGUGAAUUCAUCUUCGGGGGUAGAGCACUGUUUCGGCUAGGGGGUCAUCCCGACUUACCAACCCGAUGCAAACUACGAAUACCGAAGAAUGUUAUCACGGGAGACACACGGCGGGUGCUAACGUCCGUCGUGAAGAGGGAAACAACCCAGACCGCCAGCUAAGGUCCCGAAGUCAUGGUUAAGUGGGAAACGAAGUGGGAAGGCUUAGACAGCCAGGAUGUUGGCUUAGAAGCAGCCAUCAUUUAAAGAAAGCGUAAUAGCUCACUGGUCGAGUCGGCCUGCGCGGAAGAUGUAACGGGGCUAAACCAUGCACCGAAGCUGCGGCAGCGUGGGUAGGGGAGCGUUCUGUAAGCCUGCGAAGGUGGACUGAGAGGUCUGCUGGAGGUAUCAGAAGUGCGAAUGCUGACAUAAGUAACGAUAAAGCGGGUGAAAAACCCGCUCGCCGAAAGACCAAGGGUUCCUGUCCAAAGUUAAUCGGGGCAGGGUAAGUCGACCCCUAAGGCGAGGCUGAAAAGGGUAGUCGAUGGGAAACGGGUUAAUAUUCCCGUACUAAGGGUUACUGCGAAGGGGGGACGGAGAAGGCUAGGCUAUCCGGGCGACGGUUGUCCCGGUUUAAGCG